CGCGUAGGUGGUUGAUCAAGUCUGGGGUGAAAUCUUUCGGCUUAACCGGAAAAGUGCCUUGGAUACUGAUCAGCUGGAGGGAGGUAGGGGCAGUUGGAACUUCCAGUGGAGCGGUGAAAUGCGUUGAUAUUGGAAGGAACGCCGGUGGCGAAAGCGAGCUGCUGGACCUCUUCUGACACUGAGGCGCGAAAGCUAGGGGAGCAAACG
rnacentral:rRNA from 1 species